GGGAAAUCUUACCGGGUCCGGACACACUGAGGAUUGACAGGUGUUUCGUUUUUAGUUUCUUACAUACGUUGGGUUUUAUUUUAUGUGUGUGUAUGCUAUAAAAUGUAUACAUGCAUAUGGGAUAUUAUUCACUUGUAUUAAAUUGUAAAAACAUUUCAAAUAUGCUAGUCCUUUCAUGAUUGUGUGAUAGGUGGUGCAUGGCCGUUCUUAGUUCGUGGAGUGAUCUGUCUGCUUAAUUGCGUUUCACUUACGGUCCACUCAUGUUUUUAUUGCUCUGUGACCUCAUUCCUUUUUAUAGGGAGUGACCGCGUCCGGAGUGAUAUGCAUAGUGAGGCCUCGAAGGCAACGA
rnacentral:rRNA from 1 species